GCCAGCAUUUUGAGAGAGAAAGAUUCAUCCACCUGUACAGUAUUUUUGUAUUACAUGAGAGUUGUGAUUCACUUGCAUCAACUAGUCUUCCUACUAAGUUGUCAUGCCCACUAAAACUAAUGAUCAAUCGAUCAAACAAUGUAUGCAUAACCCUUCCACCCAUUACUUAAUAGUAUAAAACACAGAAAUUAACUAACAUUAUCACAGAUCACCUGCUGUACUCCAUAAAUGGAACCAUCAAGUCAAAUCGAACUAUCAGCUAAAACAUUCGGCACUGUCACUGUAGCCUUGAACAAGUGCAACCAGAAACUGCAACACUAAACCACAGUGCAGUUGUUCUCUCACCGAUUGAUCAAAGCCAUUUGUUUCUUAGG
rnacentral:misc_RNA from 1 species